rnacentral:rRNA from 1 species
GUAGGGUAAUGGCCUACCAAGGCGACGAUGGGUAGCCGGCCUGAGAGGGUGUCCGGCCACACUGGGACUGAGAUACGGCCCAGACUCCUACGGGAGGCAGCAGUCGAGAAGCUUCGGCAAUGGGCGAAAGCCUGACCGAGCGAUGCCGCGUGAGUGAAGAAGGCCCUAUGGGUUGUAAAGCUCUGUCAGAUUGGGAAGAAAAUCCUGCGGUUAAUACCCGUGGGACUUGACGGUACCAUCAGAGGAAGCACCGGCUAACUCCGUGCCAGCAGCCGCGGUAAUACGGAGGGUGCAAGCGUUGUUCGGAUUCACUGGGUAUAAAGGGUGCGCAGGCGGCCUGAUAAGUCAGAGGUGAAAUAUGUCGGCUCAACCGGCAAACGGCCUCUGAAACUGUCAGGCUUGAGUUCGAGAGAGGUAGGUGGAAUUCCAGGUGUAGCGGUGAAAUGCGUAAAUAUCUGGAGGAACACCGGUGGCGAAGGCGGCCUACUGGCUCGAUACUGACGCUCAGGCACGAAAGCAUGGGGAGCGAACGGGAUUAGAUACCCCGGUAGUCCAUGCCGUAAACGAUGGGUACUAGGUGUUGGAGGAUUCUACCCCUUCAGUGCCGCAGCUAACGCAUUAAGUACCCCACCUGGGGAGUACGAUCGCAAGGUUGAAACUCAAAGGAAUUGACGGGGGCCCGCACAAGCGGUGGAGCAUGUGGUUUAAUUCGAUGCAACGCGAAGAACCUUACCUGGGCUUGACAUGCAGGGGACAGAUGUAGAAAUACAUCCUUCUUCGGACUCCUGUACAGGUGCUGCAUGGCUGUCGUCAGCUCGUGUCGUGAAAUGUUGGGUUAAGUCCCGCAACGAGCGCAACCCUUGUCUUUAGUUGCCAUCAGGUAAUGCUGGGGACUCUAGAGAGACUGCCGGUGACAAACCGGAGGAAGGUGGGGACGACGUCAAGUCAUCAUGGCCCUUACGCCCAGGGCUACACACGUGCUACAAUGGUCGGUACAAAGGGCAGCAAUACAGCGAUGUGGAGCGAAUCCCAAAAAGCCGGCCUCAGUUCGGAUCGUAGUCUGCAACUCGACUACGUGAAGUUGGAAUCGCUAGUAAUCGCGUAUCAGAACGACGCGGUGAAUACGUUCCCGGGCCUUGUACACACCGCCCGUCAAGUCAACCGAGUUGGCUGCACCCC